rnacentral:rRNA from 1 species
UGGGCGGAAGCCUGAUGCAGCAACGCCGCGUGCGGGAUGACGGCCUUCGGGUUGUAAACCGCUUUCGCCUGUGACGAAGCGUGAGUGACGGUAAUGGGUAAAGAAGCACCGGCUAACUACGUGCCAGCAGCCGCGGUGAUACGUAGGGUGCGAGCGUUGUCCGGAUUUAUUGGGCGUAAAGGGCUCGUAGGUGGUUGAUCGCGUCGGAAGUGUAAUCUUGGGGCUUAACCCUGAGCGUGCUUUCGAUACGGAUUGACUUGAGGAAGGUAGGGGAGAAUGGAAUUCCUGGUGGAGCGGUGGAAUGCGCAGAUAUCAGGAGGAACACCAGUGGCGAAGGCGGUUCUCUGGGCCUUUCCUGACGCUGAGGAGCGAAAGCGUGGGGAGCGAACAGGCUUAGAUACCCUGGUAGUCCACGCUGUAAACGGUGGGUACUAGGUGUGGGGUCCAUUCCACGGGUUCCGUGCCGUAGCUGACGCUUUAAGUACCCCGCCUGGGGAGUACGGCCGCA